rnacentral:rRNA from 1 species
GACGAACGCUGGCGGCGUGGAUUAGGCAUGCAAGUCGAACGGUAGGAUACCUUCGGGUAUCUGAGAGUGGCGAACGGGUGAGUAACACGUAGGUGAUCUACCCUCAAGAUUGGGACAACCCAGGGAAACUUGGGCUAAUACCGGAUGAAAGCAGCAGUGAUGUUGUUUGAAAGGUGGCGUAAGCUGCCGUUUGGGGAUGAGCCUGCGCUCUAUUAGUUAGUUGGCGGGGUAAAGGCCCACCAAGGCGAUGAUAGAUAGGCGGCCUUAACGGGUGGUCGCCCACACUGGGAUUGAGAUACGGCCCAGACUCCUACGGGAGGCAGCAGUCAAGAAUAGUCUACAAUGGCCGAAAGGCUGAUAGUGCGACGCCGCGUGAACGAAGAAGCCCUUCGGGGUGUAAAGUUCUUUUAUAUGUGAGCAGUGCUUUCUAUGUGAACAGCAUGGGGAGAGAGAUAUUAGCAUAUGAAUAAGCAACGGCUAACUCCGUG